AAACAGGCGUGGACCUACGAGCAAUAUGUGGUUUAUGAGUAAGGAUGGGAGAAUGAACUCUGCGUAGCACUUAUGACCCAGACAUUUCUGGCCUUUGAAAAAGGCACAGUGAGGGCUUCUCGUUGAGCGGAGGAACUGGGACCGAAGUAUCUAGGUUUAUUUCCCCUAUUACUUUUUCCGCUCCGCGAACCACGCUGUCUUUGACCUUGUUCCAUUAUAACAAGCGAGAAGAGAAUAACCAAAAUUAAGGAUAUUAUUAAAGUCACGAGACUAAUAUCUUACUAUAAAAUUGGCACGGGUCGGCUAAUGCCUAUUUCUUUCCCUCAAGGUAUUCAACACAGUUGAAAGAAAAAAAGGGACUUAUGACCCAGAGUAGACGGUAUGAUGAUCAAACUCCAUUUUAUUAAGAGAGAGAGAGACUUUACAAUCUUUAAUCUUGUGACGUCAGACUUAACGGCGUUGCUACGGGAGGAUAAAUACCUGUUCGUAAUUCUUGACAGGAGAUCACGACUUCUUGUUCGACAAAAUAUGGUUCAUUAGUUCUUUCAAUUUUAGUUUUUAGUCAAUAGGAAACCGAGAUAUGAAUAAACACAGUUAUUAUCAGUGGCAUUAGAGAUCGGCAGCUUCGUUCCCUCUCUGCGACGGGAAACCUUUCUACUCGGAUGAAGAUUUCGUCGAUUUCUUUUGGGACAAGAUUCUAAUUGACUUCACUUUUGGUAUGAGGAUCUUCAUCGUUGAGAGCAAAUCUUUCGAUUUCUUUGCUUUCAGAAUAUUUUUUCAGUGUUUUUAUAGCAAAGGUCCGUAUAUUCCCAUCCGUUGUGCGGAUACCGAAUUUCCUUCGGUUAGAUUAAUGACUAAUCGAGAAGGUGAUCUAACGUGUCGAUGUUCUGCGUCGAUCUACCUUCUUUUUUCCUUUUUUGGGAAUUGAUGAAAGAUUUAGAUAAGUGUUGCUUCCUUCGACGGAAACGAAGUUUAUCUUCGAAAUCUUUUGACGGG
rnacentral:lncRNA from 1 species